UGAGAGAAGGAAAAGGCAGACUUGAGAAGACUAUUCGAACAUUCAUUGGCCUCGUUGAAAGAUGUGAUAUACUGCUACUGAAGUUGCUGGUAAUUUUGAAGAUUUCAUUAGAAUUCUUCUACAUAAAAGCAUCUGUGAUGUGCGCACUUUGCAAUCGCCAUUUCCUUUUUGGAAACGGAGCUUCUUACCCUACAAAAAUCAGCCGAAGUGGCAACGACAAGGAAUAAUGGUAC